GUGGGGAAUAUUGGGCAAUGGGGGAAACCCUGACCCAGCAACGCCGCGUGAAGGAAGAAGGUUUUCGGAUCGUAAACUUCUAUCCUUGGUGAAGAUAAUGACGGUAGCCAAGAAGGAAGCCCCGGCUAACUACGUGCCAGCAGCCGCGGUAAUACGUAGGGGGCAAGCGUUGUCCGGAAUGAUUGGGCGUAAAGGGCGCGUAGGCGGCCUGGUAAGUCUGGAGUGAAAGUCCUGCUUUUAAGGUGGGAAUUGCUUUGGAUACUGUCGGGCUUGAGUGCAGGAGAGGUAAGCGGAAUUCCCGGUGUAGCGGUGAAAUGCGUAGAGAUCGGGAGGAACACCAGUGGCGAAGGCGGCUUAUUGGACUGUAACUGACGCUGAGGCGCGAAAGUGUGGGGAGCAAACAGGAUUAGAAACCCCAGUAGUCC
rnacentral:rRNA from 1 species